rnacentral:rRNA from 1 species
GAUGAACGCUGGCGGCGUGCCUAAUACAUGCAAGUCGAGCGAACGGACGAGAAGCUUGCUUCUCUGAUGUUAGCGGCGGACGGGUGAGUAACACGUGGAUAACCUACCUAUAAGACUGGGAUAACUUCGGGAAACCGGAGCUAAUACCGGAUAAUAUUUUGAACCGCAUGGUUCAAAAGUGAAAGACGGUCUUGCUGUCACUUAUAGAUGGAUCCGCGCUGCAUUAGCUAGUUGGUAAGGUAACGGCUUACCAAGGCAACGAUGCAUAGCCGACCUGAGAGGGUGAUCGGCCACACUGGAACUUAGACACGGUCCAGACUCCUACGGGAGGCAGCAGUAGGGAAUCUUCCGCAAUGGGCGAAAGCCUUACGGAGCAACGCCGCGUGAGUGAUGAAGGUCUUCGGAUCGUAAAACUCUGUUAUUAGGGAAGAACAUAUGUUUAAGUAACUGUGCACAUCUUGACGGUACCUAAUCAGAAAGCCACGGCUAACUACGUG